rnacentral:rRNA from 1 species
GAUGAACGCUGGCGGCGUGCCUAAUACAUGCAAGUCGAGCGAACAGACGAGGAGCUUGCUCCUCUGACGUUAGCGGCGGGCGUGUGAGUAACACGUGUAUAACCUACCUAUCAGACUAGGAUCACUUCGGGACACCGGAGCUAAUACCGGAUGAUAUAUUGAACCGCAUUGUGCAAUGGUGAGAGACGGUUUUGCUGUCACUAAUAGAUGGAUCCCGGCCGCAUGAGAUAGUUGUGAAGGUCACGGCCUACCAAGGCGACGAUGCGUAGCCGACCGGAUGGGGGGAUAGCCGACCUUGGAAGUGAGACACCGUCCAGACGACUACGAGAGGCAGCAGUAGGGAAUCUUAGGCAAUGGGCGGAAGCUUGACGGAGCAACGGCGCGUGAGAGAUGAAGGUCUUCGGAUCGUAAUACCGUGUUAUGAGGGAAGAACAAAUGUGUAAGGAAAUAAGCAGGUAGUGACGGUAACUAAUAAGAAAGCACCGGCUAACUACGUG